rfam:Muricauda antarctica strain CGMCC 1.12174 genome assembly, contig: Ga0079848_103
UAUCUUUGCGCGCUGAUCGAAGGUCGAUCGAUACAUAAAAAUCAUUUAAAUAAUAUUGGAAUG